GCUUCCUUGGCUCAGUUGGAAGAGCGCAGGUCUCAUAUUUAGUUAUGAGUGGUCUUGCAGACCAUGCCAUCCUGAGGUCGAGAGUUCGAGCCUCUCAGGGAGCA